UGGGGAAUAUUGGACAAUGGGCGCAAGCCUGAUCCAGCCAUGCCGCGUGAGUGAUGAAGGCCUUAGGGUUGUAAAGCUCUUUCAGUAGGGAAGAUAAUGACGGUACCUACAGAAGAAGCCCCGGCUAACUUCGUGCCAGCAGCCGCGGUAAUACGAAGGGGGCUAGCGUUGUUCGGAUUUACUGGGCGUAAAGCGCACGUAGGCGGAUCGUUAAGUUAGGGGUGAAAUCCUGGAGCUCAACUCCAGAACUGCCUCUAAUACUGGCGAUCUAGAGUCCGGAAGAGGUGAGUGGAACUCCUAGUGUAGAGGUGGAAUUCGUAGAUAUUAGGAAGAACACCAGUGGCGAAGGCGGCUCACUGGUCCGGUACUGACGCUGAGGUGCGAAAGCGUGGGGAGCAAACA
rnacentral:rRNA from 1 species